GUUUGUUCUUACCAGAGGCUCUGAUGGCUUUAUCUGAUCACAGGUUUUCCUCAGGAAGGAAGGGCCCAGCCUUGCCAUGCUCACCCCCACCGUGGCAUCUCCACUGGUCCCACUCAGCAGCCCUGAGGCCACCAAAGCAUCCCCAUGGUGGUACCCGGAGCGGAGGGAUGCUGCUGCCAGCUCAGAUCCUGCCAGGGCCAACCCAAGCCUCUUGCCUUGAUUGAUCCAGAGGAACUGCAGCCUCACUCCUCCCAGCUCCCUCCAGCUCCACCUCCAGCUCAGUCCCGCCGCGCAGGUGGAAUAUCCCCAUUUGGCAUCAUCCUCCAGAGAGGCUCAGUGUGUGGUACCUGGCAGCAGGAAUUUCCUGAAGCCU